rnacentral:rRNA from 1 species
UACGUAGGGGGCAAGCGUUGUCCGGAAUCAUUGGGCGUAAAGAGCGUGUAGGCGGCUCGGUAAGUCCGCUCUGAAAGCCCGGGGCUCAACCCCGGGAGGCGGGCGGAUACUGUCGGGCUAGAGUCCGGAAGAGGCGAGUGGAAUUCCACGUGUAGCGGUGAAAUGCGUAGAGAUGUGGAGGAACACCAGUGGCGAAGGCGACUCUUUGGCCUGUAACUGACACUGAGGCGCGAAAGCGUGGGGAGCAAACAGG